AGUGAACGCUGGCGGUAGGCCUAACACAUGCAAGUCGAACGCCCCGCAAGGGGAGUGGCAGACGGGUGAGUAACACGUGGGAACGUGCCCUAAGGUUUGGAAUAUUCCCGGGAAACUGGGAGCAAUACCAAAUGUGUCCGCAAGGAGAAAGAUUUAUCGCCUUAGGAUCGGCCCGCGUCGGAUUAGCUAGUUGGUGGGGUAAAAGCCUACCAAGGCGACGAUCCGUAGCUGGUUUGAGAGAACGACCAGCCACACUGGGACUGAGACACGGCCCAGACUCCUACGGGAGGCAGCAGUGGGGAAUCUUGGACAAUGGGCGCAAGCCUGAUCCAGCCAUGCCGCGUGAGUGAUGAAGGCCCUAGGGUUGUAAAACUCUUUCGCCGAGGACGAUAAUGACGGUACUCGGAGAAGAAGCUCCGGCUAACUUCGUGCCAGCAGCCGCGGUAAC
rnacentral:rRNA from 1 species